rnacentral:lncRNA from 1 species
AAUAAGUAUGUCUUGUUUGAUUUUAGUUUCGACGCGCGGUGGCGGAAAAAGAAUUUUUGAAAAAGAUUUCAACGUGCGGGGCAAAAUAGAUUAAGUUUGGUGUGUUUGAGAUCGAUUUUAAGGCGGAUGACGAGCAUUCGACUGAUCAAGCGAUAAGGCUUGUAUUUAAACGCUCGCAUACCUAUAAGGAGAUACAUCCCAUAAGUCUUUUUAUCCAGUUUUUUUAUUAUAAAAAAAGUUAU